rnacentral:rRNA from 1 species
UACGGAGGGUGCAAGCGUUGUUCGGAAUCAUUGGGCGUAAAGCGCGUGUAGGCGGCUUGGCAAGUCAGUUGUGAAAGCCCGGGGCCCAACCCCGGAACUGCAUCUGAAACUGCCUAGCUAGAGUCCCGGAGAGGAAGGCAGAAUUCCCGGUGUAGGGGUGAAAUCCGUAGAUAUCGGGAGGAAUACCAGCGGCGAAGGCGGCCUUCUGGACGGUGACUGACGCUGAGACGCGAAAGCGUGGGGAGCAAACAGG